rnacentral:rRNA from 1 species
AGUGAACGCUGGCGGUAGGCCUAACACAUGCAAGUCGAACGGCAGCACAGAGGAGCUUGCUCCUUGGGUGGCGAGUGGCGGACGGGUGAGGAAUACAUCGGAAUCUACUCUGUCGUGGGGGAUAACGUAGGGAAACUUACGCUAAUACCGCAUACGACCUACGGGUGAAAGCAGGGGACCUUCGGGCUUUGCGCGAGUGAAUGAGCCGAUGUCGGAUUAGCUAGUUGGCGGGGUAAAGGCCCACCAAGGCGACGAUCCGUAGCUGGUCUGAGAGGAUGAUCAGCCACACUGGAACUGAGACACGGUCCAGACUCCUACGGGAGGCAGCAGUGGGGAAUAUUGGACAAUGGGCGCAAGCCUGAUCCAGCCAUACCGCGUGGGUGAAGAAGGCCUUCGGGUUGUAAAGCCCUUUUGUUGGGAAAGAAAUCCAGCUGGCUAAUACCCGGUUGGGAUGACGGUACCCAAAGAAUAAGCACCGGCUAACUUCGUGCCAGCCGCCGCCGUAA